AUUUUCUACGGAAAAAUUGAAGCGAAUUUGCACAGUUACAUAUUAUACAUAUGUAUGUACGUAUAUGUAUCUCUUAUACACUUCAGGUUUUGAUGAUGGUCCCGUUUGUUAAGUGGCACUACCGGAGCUUGUUUACACACGCGCGAUUGGAGAUUCUUUAAAAUCUGCGAAAGAAUUGCGUCUGCAUUUUAUAGAAAUCACAUUCACUUAUAUUUAUACAUUUGUAUAUGUGCUUAUGUAUGCAUGGAGGUACAUAUGUAUGUAUUUGUGACAAAUGGAAAGUGAAAAUUUAUUGUAUCCGAAAUUGCACCAAAUCACAUAAAAGCAUUAAUCUGCAUUUUCACUCAAUGAAACUCACUUCCACAACAACAAAGGAGGUUUAUCCGCAUACUCGUUGGGUUUAAUGAUGAUUUUGCAUACACACAAAUAGAUAUACAUAUAUGUAUUGACUAGCGGAAAAGUUCAUUCAAUCAUAGAGAGAAAACCCGGAAGAGCGGAAUGAAACUUGCGUACUCAAUUCUCUAAACGAGGUGAAGGACUAGUUUUAUUGUUAAACCUACACAGCAAUCGCCCUCGACAGGUAAUGGCAAACCUCCGAGUAUAUUUCUGCAUUGAAAAAGCC